CUAUGAUGAACAUCUAGAUGACGAGUCUGAUUCGGGUUUCCGAUGUAGACACACUUUAUUAUAUACCAUUCAUGCAUUUCUGAUC
rnacentral:snoRNA from 1 species